GUGCAAGCGUUACUCGGAAUUACUGGGCGUAAAGCGUGCGUAGGUGGUUUGUUAAGUCUGUUGUGAAAGCCCCGGGCUCAACCUGGGAAUGGCAAUGGAUACUGGCAAGCUAGAGUGCGGUAGAGGGUAGUGGAAUUCCCGGUGUAGCGGUGAAAUGCGUAGAGAUCGGGAGGAACACCAGUGGCGAAGGCGGCUACCUGGACCAGCACUGACACUGAGGCACGAAAGCGUGGGGAGCAAACAGG
rnacentral:rRNA from 1 species